rnacentral:rRNA from 1 species
GACGAACGCUGGCGGCGUGCUUAACACAUGCAAGUCGAGCGGUAAGGCCCUUUCGGGGGUACACGAGCGGCGAACGGGUGAGUAACACGUGGGUGACCUGCCCUUAGCUCUGGGAUAAGCCUGGGAAACUGGGUCUAAUACCGGAUAUGACUCCAUGACGCAUGUUGUGGGGUGGAAAGCCUUGUGCGGCUAGGGAUGGGCCCGCGGCCUAUCAGCUUGUUGGUGGGGUGAUGGCCUACCAGGGCGACGACGGGUAGCCGGCCUGAGAGGGCGACCGGCCACACUGGGACUGAGACACGGCCCAGACUCCUACGGGAGGCAGCAGUGGGGAAUCUUGCGCAAUGGGCGAAAGCCUGACGCAGCGACGCCGCGUGAGGGAUGAC